rnacentral:rRNA from 1 species
CAAUAGCGUAUAUUAAAGUUGUUGCGGUUAAAAGACUCGUAGUUGGGUUUCUGUCGGUGAGCGAAGGUCCGCCCUAGUGGUUGGUACACUUCGCGCCGCCGACAUCUUCCUGGGGAAUGUGUCUGCACUUCACUGUGUGGCGCGGGAACCAGGACGUUUACUUUGAGGAAAUUUACAGUGCUUCAAGCAGGCUCACGCUCUCUGAAUACGUUAGCAUGGAAUAAUAGCAUCGGACCUCGAUCCAAAGCUGUUGGUUUCUUGGAUCUGGGUAAAAGGUGAAUAGGGAUUGUUGGGGGCGAUUCGUAUUUAACUUAGUCAGAGGUGAAAUUACUUUGGAUUUGUUUGAAGACGGACUACUGCGAAAGCAUCUGCCAAAGAAUGUUCUCAUUGAUACAAGAACGAAAGUUAAGGGGA